rnacentral:piRNA from 1 species
UGGGUUUUAAGGGUAGCAGAGUUGGUUGGC